rnacentral:rRNA from 1 species
AGGCAGCAGUGAGGAAUAUUGGUCAAUGGGCGAGAGCCUGAACCAGCCAAGUAGCGUGCAGGAUGACGGCCCUAUGGGUUGUAAACUGCUUUUAUCGGGGGAUAAAGUGAGGGACGUGUCCCUUAUUGUAGGUACCCGAUGAAUAAGGACCGGCUAAUUCCGUGCCAGCAGCCGCGGUAAUACGGAAGGUCCGGGCGUUAUCCGGAUUUAUUGGGUUUAAAGGGAGCGCAGGCUGAUUAUUAAGCGUGACGUGAAAUGUAGCCGCUCAACGGCUGAACUGCGUCGCGAACUGGUAGUCUUGAGUGAGUUCGAUGUUGGCGGAAUUCGUGGUGUAGCGGUGAAAUGCUUAGAUAUCACGAAGAACUCCGAUUGCGAAGGCAGCCAACAAGGCCUUUACUGACGCUAAAGCUCGAAGGUGCGGGUAUCGAACAGGAUUAGAUACCCUGGUAGUCCGCACGGUAAACGAUGGAUGCCCGCUGUUUGCGAUAUACUGUGAGCGGCCAAGAGAAAUCGUUAAGCAUCCCACCUGGGGAGUACGCCGGCAACGGUGAAACUCAAAGGAAUUGACGG